UAAGCAGAUCGGGUAACCGCCGUCUUUGUAAUGUUAAAGGUGGAGGAAAGUCCGAGCUCCGCAGAGCAGCGCAGCGGGUAACACCCGCCCUCCGGAAGGAGAGGAUAGCUCUUGAGUGAUUAUUUGCUUAAAGGGUGCCUUGCGGUGUUUUGAACAAAGCAAGGUAGAGCCACAGAGACGAGAUCUUACGCAUUAUUUGCGUAAGGGGUGAAACGAGGCAAUCUCUGCGCGGUGCAAGACCAAAUAGAUUCCGAAUUAGAAGUUGCUCGCUUCUACCGAAUAUGACGGUGUCGGAAUGGGUUGGGUCGCUAUGACCUCGCCAGCAAUGGCGGGGCAAGAGGAAUGGUUGCCUGCGAGAAUAAACGUCUCGCAUACAGAACUCGGCUUAUAGAUCCGCUUAUUUA
rnacentral:RNase_P_RNA from 1 species